rnacentral:lncRNA from 1 species
GGCGCACACACCCUCGGAUUGACGUGCGCACGCGCACCGGUUACCUUCAGGAGCGCCGAAGAAGGAAAGAAGACUGCCAGCUCCGUGACAGCAAGAACCUUGUAUGACUUUUUCAUGAUGGAUGUUCAUCUGUGCCAUCUGUAAAUAUUGAAUAAAUAUUUGUGGAAUACAUGAAUCUAAAAGUGAAUGGAAUGAUAAAGAGGGAAAGGGUCAUGACAUCUACUACAGCAUUUGGCACAGACCCAGGUUUCCCUGGUACUGGUAAUUCCCAGCAGCUUUCUACAAUUCCAAAGCUGUCUGCAGUACUAUCAAGAGAUGACAUGGACUUCAAGGAUCAAACAGGGGAGAAAAAGGCUUAAAAGAAAAACAAGUCUCCAUCAAAGGUAAUAACCACAAUGAGAACUAUACAUAGCUAUGUGCUUAUAGGUCUUAGUUCACAUUCCCCUCAUUAAAAUUAUAGCUCAAGAAAUAAAGGGCUGUUUAAUGACUUGGGUAUAUAAAUAUACUUCAUUUGUAUAUUUUUUACUUGCUAAAAUCUAUCCAAAUUGGUAUUACCUCAAACCAUAAUCUUCUACUGUAUUUUAUAAUUUUACUUUAUUGCCAUGUAUUUUUCCCACUGAUGUUCACAAAUUCACAGGAAACAUCAGCCAUGUACUAAAUAAAAUAUGAAUUGAAUCGACAAAUAGAACUAUAAA